GACGAACGCUGGCGGCGUGCUUAACACAUGCAAGUCGAACGGAAAGGCCCUGCUUUUGUGGGGUGCUCGAGUGGCGAACGGGUGAGUAACACGUGAGUAACCUGCCCUUGACUUUGGGAUAACUUCAGGAAACUGGGGCUAAUACCGGAUAGGAGCUCCUGCUGCAUGGUGGGGGUUGGAAAGUUUCGGCGGUUGGGGAUGGACUCGCGGCUUAUCAACUUGUUGGUGGGGUAGUGGCUUACCAAGGCUUUGACGGGUAGCCGGCCUGAGAGGGUGACCGGCCACAUUGGGACUGAGAUACGGCCCAGACUCCUACGGGAGGCAGCAGUGGGGAAAAUUGCACAAUGGGCGGAAGCCUGAUGCAGCAACGCCGCGUGCGGGAUGACGGCCUUCGGGCUGUAAACCGCUUUCGCCUGUGACGAAGCGUGAGUGACGGUAAUGGGUAAAGAAGCACCGGCUAACUACGUG
rnacentral:rRNA from 1 species